CUUCUUUCUUUACGUGAACAUCUGGGCGGCGUUAUGCAAAUGUUCCCACACAGUAACGUAGACGUGGGGGAGUUUAAACGAGGUGUUAUAGGUAGGUGUGGUUGACUCUUAAAUUUUAUUAAGAAUAUCUCUUUGGAUUUGAGACUUUAGUCUUUGCAACUUUACAGAUCUUCUUUAUGCACCAAGAGCUUGUAGCACUCCAAAGUGAAAGGAAAAACUGAUAUCGCAUCAUAUGACCCCUUUAAUUUUUUGACCAUAUCAACAUGCAAAAUAUCAUAUAUAGGCUUUAAGUUUUAAAAUAUUAUACAAGCCAAUUUAUGUCUAUACUUUGUUAAUAUACAUUUUGAUUGCAGAAUUCAGUGUCAGAAUUUAAAUGAUCCUGUUCCUGUUCAAUGAAUCAUUUGUUUGCUGGAGAGGGCAGUAAAUGAUAGGAUCAAUUCUGCUUGUUGACCUGUUGAAAAAAAAAAAUCUCCAAGGAUCAACAGGACUGUCUCGUCCUUUCCCACGCUGAACAUCUGACUGCCCCCCCUCCCCCCCCUUCUGUGAGAGAAGUCUAAAAACCGCGGCAAUGGCCAUCAAAAAACCAACAACUUCCUCUGUCGCCUGCUCACUUCCUGUUUCUGCGUCUGAGGGCCCAACGGUGCAGUGAUGAUUAGCUGGGCCUUUGCGUGACAAUCAAGCAGCCAGACGCUCUUAGUUUCCCCCAUUCAGACCGGAAGCAGCACUAUUGCAACGAAUCAUCUGUGAAAUCUGUCUGCAGCCUUUCAAAAACAGGAAGUGUAACUGAGAUCUGAUAAAGACCCUCUCGAUUUCAUCUAGAUCACAUGGGCAUCAGUCAUCAGGUGUCUCACUGGGUCGUGUCCCAUGAAGGCAAAUAUUGCUCAUCUGAAAAAAAAAAGAACCAGGAUAUUUCACAAAAUGAUGCCUUUGCAAUCAAGGAUGUCAUGCACCUGCCUCAGGUAACAUCUGGAUCUAAUAAACAAUCACAAUGUUGUUGUGCAGCUUUAUUGUGGGUAACACAUGCAGAAGGACGUCUUUGGCCUUUGGCCACAUUGCAUAUUUUCAGCAUCUUAAAUUGUUUUAGUCAUAAUACUGUCAUUCCAUGCAAACUGCUAUGUCAAGGUACAAACAGGUACAAGCAAACAAAAACACAUUGACAACAAAAAGUGUCUCAGUCUGCUAGUGGAGAGAAAAAGUAGUGCAAUCAGGCACAUCAUUUUAUGUUAAUGUACUGUAUAAAAUAAUUAAUUUAGUUGUUUGUAAUUUGUAAAAGUAACUUUCAC
ensembl:lncRNA